CCUACGGGGGUCUGCAGUGGGGAAUAUUGGACAAUGGGGGGAACCCUGAUCCAGCCAUGCCGCGUGUGUGAAGAAGGCCCUCGGGUUGUAAAGCACUUUCAGUGAGGAAGAACGCCUGGUGGUUAAUACCCAUCAGGAAAGACAUCACUCACAGAAGAAGCACCGGCUAACUCCGUGCCAGCAGCCGCGGUAAUACGGAGGGUGCGAGCGUUAAUCGGAAUUACUGGGCGUAAAGCGCGCGUAGGUGGCUUGAUAAGCCGGUUGUGAAAGCCCCGGGCUCAACCUGGGAACGGCAUCCGGAACUGUCAAGCUAGAGUGCAGGAGAGGAAGGUAGAAUUCCCGGUGUAGCGGUGAAAUGCGUAGAGAUCGGGAGGAAUACCAGUGGCGAAGGCGGCCUUCUGGACUGACACUGACACUGAGGUGCGAAAGCGUGGGUAGCAAACAGGAUUAGAUACCCUAGUAGUC
rnacentral:rRNA from 1 species